rnacentral:rRNA from 1 species
ACGUAGGGUGCGAGCGUUAAUCGGAAUUACUGGGCGUAAAGCCUGCGCAGGCGGUUCGCUAAGACAGGUGUGAAAUCCCCGGGCUUAACCUGGGAAUGGCGCUUGUGACUGGCGGGCUGGAGUACGGCAGAGGGGGGUAGAAUUCCACGUGUAGCAGUGAAAUGCGUAGAGAUGUGGAGGAACACCGAUGGCGAAGGCAGCCCCCUGGGAUGACACUGACGCUCAUGUACGAAAGCUAGGGGAGCAAACGG